GCCCCGGUAGCUCAGCCUGGUGGAGCGCCUCACUGGUAAGGAGGGCUUUAUCGCCGAGUGAGGAGGUCCCGGGUUCGAAUCCCGGCCGGGGCU
rnacentral:tRNA from 1 species